rnacentral:tRNA from 1 species
UGGGCUGAGGCUCGUGGUAGAGUGCUUGCCUGGCAUGCAUGGCGCACUGGGUUCAAUCCUCAGUACCCCAU